rnacentral:rRNA from 1 species
ACGAUAACGGCGUCGAGCGGCGGACGGGUGAGUAAUGCCUAGGAAAUUGCCCUGAUGUGGGGGAUAACCAUUGGAAACGAUGGCUAAUACCGCAUGAUGCCUACGGGCCAAAGAGGGGGACCUUCGGGCCUCUCGCGUCAGGAUAUGCCUAGGUGGGAUUAGCUAGUUGGUGAGGUAAGGGCUCACCAAGGCGACGAUCCCUAGCUGGUCUGAGAGGAUGAUCAGCCACACUGGAACUGAGACACGGUCCAGACUCCUACGGGAGGCAGCAGUGGGGAAUAUUGCACAAUGGGCGCAAGCCUGAUGCAGCCAUGCCGCGUGUGUGAAGAAGGCCUUCGGGUUGUAAAGCACUUUCAGUCGUGAGGAAGGUGGUGUAGUUAAUAGCUGCAUUAUUUGACGUUAGCGACAGAAGAAGCACCGGCUAACUCCGUGCCAGCAGCCGCGGUAAUACGGAGGGUGCGAGCGUUAAUCGGAAUUACUGGGCGUAAAGCGCAUGCAGGUGGUUUGUUAAGUCAGAUGUG